rnacentral:rRNA from 1 species
UUUCCGGUUGAUCCCGCCGGACCUGACUGCUAUCGGAUUGAUACUAAGCCAUGCGAGUCAUUGUAGCAAUACAAGGCAGACGGCUCAGUAACGCGUAGUCAACCUAACCUAUGGACGGGAAUAACCUCGGGAAACUGAGAAUAAUGCCCGAUAGAACAUUAUACCUGGAAUGGUUUAUGUUCCAAAUGAUUUAUCGCCGUAGGAUGGGACUGCGGCCUAUCAGUUUGUUGGUGAGGUAAUGGCCCACCAAGACUAUUACAGGUACGGGCUCUGAGAGGAGUAGCCCGGAGAUGGGUACUGAGACACGGACCCAGGCCCUAUGGGGCGCAGCAGGCGAGAAAACUUUGCAAUGUGCGAAAGCACGACAAGGUUAAUCCGAGUGGUUUCUGCUAAAGGAACCUUUUGUCGGUCCUAGAAACACCGAUGAAUAAGGGGUGGGCAAGUUCUGGUGUCAGCCGCCGCGGUAAAACCAGCACCUCAAGUGGUCAGGAUGAUUAUUGGGCCUAAAGCAUCCGUAGCCGGCUCUGUAAGUUUUCGGUUAAAUCUGUACGCUCAACGUACAGGCUGCCGGGAAUACUGCAGAGCUAGGGAGUGGGAGAGGUAGACGGUACUCGGUAGGAAGGGGUAAAAUCCUUUGAUCUAUUGAUGACCACCUGUGGCGAAGGCGGUCUACCAGAACACGUCCGACGGAGAGGGAUGAAAGCUGGGGGAGCAAACCGGAUUAGAUACCCGGGUAGUCCCAGCUGUAAACUAUGCAAACUCAGUGAUGCAUUGGCUUGUGGCCAAUGCAGUGCUGCAGGGAAGCCGUUAAGUUUGCCGCCUGGGAAGUACGUACGCAAGUAUGAAACUUAAAGGAAUUGGCGGGGGAGCACCACAAGGGGUGAAGCCUGCGGUUCAAUUGGAGUCAACGCCAGAAAUCUUACCCGGAGAGACAGCAGAAUGAAGGUCAAGCUGAAGACUUUACCAGACAAGCUGAGAGGUGGUGCAUGGCCGUCGCCAGCUCGUGCCGUGAGAUGUCCUGUUAAGUCAGGUAACGAGCGAGAUCCCUGCCUCUAGUUGCCACCAUUACUCUCAGGAGUAGUGGGGCGAAUUAGCGGGACCGCCGCAGUUAAUGCGGAGGAAGGAAGGGGCCACGGCAGGUCAGUAUGCCCCGAAACUCUGGGGCCACACGCGGGCUGC